UACGUAGGGUCCGAGCGUUGUCCGGAAUUAUUGGGCGUAAAGAGCUCGUAGGCGGUCUGUCACGUCGGCUGUGAAAACACGGGGCUCAACUCCGUGCCUGCAGUCGAUACGGGCAGACUAGAGUUCGGUAGGGGAGACUGGAAUUCCUGGUGUAGCGGUGAAAUGCGCAGAUAUCAGGAGGAACACCAGUGGCGAAGGCGGCGACCUGGGCCAAUAUUGACGCUGAGGUGCGAAAGCGUGGGGAGCAAACAGG
rnacentral:rRNA from 1 species